GAUGAAGAACGCAGUGAAAUGCGAUAAGUAAUGUGAAUUGCAGAAUUCAGUGAAUCAUCGAAUCUUUGAACGCACAUUGCGCCCAUUAGCAUUCUAGUGGGCAUGCCUGUUCGAGCGUCAUUUCAACCCUUAAGCCCUGUUGCUUAGCGUUGGGAGCCUACAGUACUGUAGCUCCCCAAAGUUAGUGGCGGAGUCGGUUUCACACUCUAGACGUAGUAAAUUUUUCUCGUCUGUAGUUGAGCCGGUCCCCUGCCGUAAAACACCCAAUUUAUCAAGGUUGACCUCGGAUCAGGUAGGAAUACCCGCUGAACUUAAGCAUAUCAAUAAGCGGAGGA
rnacentral:misc_RNA from 1 species